rnacentral:rRNA from 1 species
UACGAAGGGGGCUAGCGUUGUUCGGAAUUACCGGGCGUAAAGCGUGCGUAGGCGGUUCGUUAAGUCUGUUGUGAAAGCCCCGGGCUCAACCUGGGAAUGGCAAUGGAUACUGGCGAGCUAGAGUGUGUCAGAGGAUGGUGGAAUUCCCGGUGUAGCGGUGAAAUGCGUAGAGAUCGGGAGGAACAUCAGUGGCGAAGGCGGCCAUCUGGGACACACUGACGCUGAGGCACGAAAGCGUGGGGAGCAAACAGG